UCUUCUUUUUUUUUUUCCCUUUUAUAGUUUUUCCCAAUUUGUUUUACUUUGUGAUAUAUAUAUAUUAUGCUUUUAUUCCAAAGAAAUUGUUGUAGGAAAGGAGUAUCGAUGAUUCUGUUUUACUGGUCUUGUAUACUCAAUUUUGUACUUUGGAAUUUCAGUUUAGCUUUUCGAAACAUGGUGCGUUUUUACUCUUAUCAAACAUGGCCUCAACUCACUCUUGACUCAAUUGCGUAGGUGAUUUCUCAAAGGAGCACUGUUCUUUAAGGCAUGUCUCUGUGAUGCUCGCUUAUAGAAAUUGACUUUGAAUUUUAAUUAUUUCUUUGGGCAAUUUCGGAUUAGAGUGAUAUUUGGAGGUUAAAAAAGUUGAUUUAUGAUCAUCCUGAAGUAUGGCAAUGCUAAUGUUAUAAUCUGAGAUAAAGGUCUUUUAUUUUUCCAACUGAACAGGUUAAGAGAUGAAAGCAUGAAAAUUGUCUAAUCUUUAAAGAAGCAUAGUUAUGUCCUUCAAGUAAGGAGGUGUAGACUGAGGCAUCACAGUUUUGUAUACAUUUUGUAGCUCUGUGACUAAUCAGAAAUUCAUUUUUGGUCUAUCCCUGAUCUGUUUAACAUGUGAAUAUUAAAGAAACCAACAGUUCAUACUGUAAUAUUCUGAAAUUAUUUUCUUUAUCAAAGAUGAGUAUGAUAAUAUGUAGGCAUUCCGUCCAAAAUCCUUAUCUCAGAGUAUAAACAGUGUCCAAGUGCUGGCCAGUAAUUACCAGGUAGAAGUUCUUGCAAAGAAGAAUUUUUACUCUAUAUAUAUUUACUCUCGAACUUUCCUGUUAUAUGCGACUUCCUCGAAAAAUUUAGUGUUAGCCAAAUUCCCAAGGAAGUGAUCUUCUUCACUUUGCUCUCUAUUGCUUAUCCUCAUGUUCGAUUUACACUAUCGAUUAACUUCAUAGCAGCAGAAAUUACAGUAACUAUGUCUAUGAUAAGUUGGAUUUUUAUGAAUGUGUUUCUAUAACUUCCUAUUUUAGGCCCUAGGAAGAAGAUGUGAUGGAAGCAUGUCGCAGGUUUCUAAGAAAUGUGUCGGUGAAAGACGGUGCUCUUCUUAGUUGGAGGAAUUGAGGAAAAGGGUUCGAUAUUUGGAAGGAGAAAAUGGAUCGGAAAAUGAAGCAGGGUUUGAGAGAAGUAUAGGAGAUUUAGCUGACCA